rnacentral:rRNA from 1 species
UGAGGAAUAUUGGGCAAUGCCCGCAAGGGUGACCCAGCAACGCCGCGUGGAGGAUGAAUGUCGUAAGAUUGUAAACUCCUGUUAGAGGGGAAGAAUAGUACCGGUUGGACCGGUAUAUGACUGUACCCUCAGAGAAAGCCCCGGCUAACUACGUGCCAGCAGCCGCGGUAAUACGUAGGGGGCAAGCGUUGUCCGGAUUUACUGGGUGUAAAGGGCGCGCAGGCGGGAUAAAAAGUCAGUGGUGAAAUCCUACAGCUUAACUGUAGAACUGCCUUUGAUACUUUUAUUCUUGAGUUCGGGAGAGAGAGACGGAAUUCCAGGUGUAGUAGUGAAAUACGUAGAUAUCUGGAAGAACACCAGUUGCGAAGGCGGUCUCUUGGUCCGACACUGACGCUGAGGCGCGAAAGCGUGGGG